rnacentral:rRNA from 1 species
AUUGAACGCUGGCGGCAGGCCUAACACAUGCAAGUCGAGCGGAUGAAGGGAGCUUGCUCCUGGAUUCAGCGGCGGACGGGUGAGUAAUGCCUAGGAAUCUGCCUGGUAUUGGGGGAUAACGUCCGGAAACGGGCGCUAAUACCGCAUACGACCUGAGGGAGAAAGUGGGGGAUCUUCGGACCUCACGCUAUCAGAUGAGCCUAGGUCGGAUUAGCUAGUUGGUGGGGUAAAGGCCUACCAAGGCGACGAUCCGUAACUGGUCUGAGAGGAUGAUCAGUCACACUGGAACUGAGACACGGUCCAGACUCCUACGGGAGGCAGCAGUGGGGAAUAUUGAACAAUGGGCGAAAGCCUGAUCCAGCCAUGCCGCGUGUGUGAAGAAGGUCUUCGGAUUGUAAAGCACUUUAAGUUGGGAGGAAGGGCAGUAAGUUAAUACCUUGCUGUUUUGACGUUACCAACAGAAUAAGCACCGGCUAACUUCGUG